rnacentral:rRNA from 1 species
UACGGAGGGUGCAAGCGUUGUCCGGAUUUAUUGGGUUUAAAGGGUGCGUAGGCGGCGUGUCAAGUCAGGCGUGAAAGCCCCGGGCUCAACCUGGGAACCGCGCUUGAGACUGGCAUGCUCGAGUUCGGGAGAGGAUGGUGGAAUUCCCAGUGUAGAGGUGAAAUUCGUAGAUAUUGGGAAGAACACCGAUGGCGAAGGCAGCCAUCUGGACCGACACUGACGCUGAGGCGCGAAAGCGUGGGGAGCAAACAGG